GGCAACGCGAGUGAGCGACAUCUGCCUCGAAGCAGAAAUCUUGAAUAUUGAACAAGCGAGAAAAGCCGUUGAACAAAUGACAGCCGUUGGGCACAAGGAACAUUCUGAACAACUGGCUCUGCAAAUGAACAGCAUGCGCCUGGAGUUUUCUUACAAAGCAAAGGCAGGACCGUCCACCAUGACAGAAGGGCUGGACACACUGAUUACCGUCAAGGCAGUCGGUGUAAAUAUUGAUGUGUCCCGGAAAUUGACUGCCCUCCUGAUCAAAGAGCUGGCCUGAGCCUUCGAGCUGCAGCAGGAGCUGGGUGACGUGCGUGGCGAGUGCCUGGCCCAAGGUCGGCUGGGGGCAGUGCACCUCUCCUUGGGUCAGCUGGGCCUGGCCCUGCGCUGCUACCAGGCCCAACUGGAGCGGGCGCGCCAGCUGCGUGACUGCCCGCUCGAGACGCAGGCCCUGGGCAACCUGGGCCUAGCCCGCCUCGGUCUGGCCCCCUAUGAGGACGCCAUCGGGUACUUCGAGUAACAGCUGGCACUCCUCCAACAGGGCAUUGAAUAAGAACGUGCAGGACUGUGAGAUUUUGGCCGCACUUACCACAAGUGGGAGGUUACCUCCCAGUCAAGAGGAUGGGCAAGACGCGAGGUGAUCCCCUUCACAGUUAGCGCAACUGGUCGUGGAAGUGCAAGUGUCGGUCGAGUGCUCGUUUCAUGCACAUCUUGCACAAGUAGUGCACCCUCGGCAGCUUUGCGAUCCGUGCCCGAACCGCUGACACUUGAAGCAUCGGCGUAGACCUUAUUACCGGCUUAUGCACAAAUAACCAAACUGAAAGAAGGUGCCGCUCUCGACGAGAAUUAAAAGUGCGCUUCAACCCAGACAAUCGGACUUGCGAAUACUACCUUACAUGCCGCCGUGGGGAAAGUUCCUUCAAUGAUAUCAACGACUGUUACGAACAAUGCAAAGAAUUCGUUAAAAACCCGUGUGUUCUGCCUAUCAAAGCAAUUACGCAAGAAGGACAUCUCUAUAGCGACAAAGCUCAAUUCCGUUACGGUUACGACCAAGGUACAGGUAAAUGCGUCAAGUUCCUUCGGUCAAUGUCUGAUGGAAACAAUAACAGCUUCACAUCACGCAAACAAUGUCUGGAAACCUGCGCACCGAAUUCAUCAUGCUUGCUGCGAACCGAGUACCAUCGCUGGAGGUUGUUUCCGUGGUACUUUUACGAUCCUGAUCACGACACCUGUAACAAAACAACCACUUUCUUCAGGAAAAUUCUAUAUUGGCCGCUACAGAACAGAUUUUUCACCCCAAGUAGUUGCCACGAAGAAUGCAUGCCCGAUCUUUCCGCAAUCCUUAAAUAAGCCCAGAGCUACAUAUAAUAAAGGCGUAUUUAGUCACUUGGAGACCUUUGUCAAAUUACUGAAGCUGUGAGAUAGAAAAGCACAAACAUGGUCAUGGAGAGUAAGUUAG